CAUUAGAAGAAAAAUGCUUCACAAUAUUGGAAAAUACCAUACACCCCUGGGAACAAUGUCUGCUUAAUUACUAAAGAAUAAUCUCCAUCUGCUAGAUUUGUCUUCCCCAGCUCGCUCCAAAAUAAGUCUCCAGCGUGAUUUGCAAUGUGGGGAAGCACCAGGAAGAAAAGCAAUCACCCUGAGCCAAGGGAGGGAGUGGCGCUUCGCAGCCUUAUGGAAAGUUCCUGCCCACCACAAAGCACAACCCAAGUGCUGACAGAUGCCURGUGCUGAUAGACCUGGCCCAGGCGCAGGUUGGUUUCCCGCCUAUGUUGCUGUGUAGUGUGCUUUGUGCUGGAGAUGGCUUGCAGCGCUAGGAGCAUGUAGUGCUGCAGAGUACAUCCCCUGAAAACAGAUAUUAUUUAAAAUAAAGCUCCCAGAUCUCAGGAUACUACAAAUGAGCUGCUGUUGGAUAUGGGUUUACUCUGAGGCCAAAGACCUUGGGGUGAAUCUCUGUGCUGCUCCCYGGAAGGUGCGUGGCAGAACCUGCCCCCAGAGAGCAAAGUUUGUGCAGGAAUCCCCAGCACCAACCUCCUCCACGUGGCGCCCGGAGCUGUGGUGCUCGGGCUCGUUACGGGACCGCUCCUCGCGCUGGCGGUGCCCUGAGAAAUCCCUCACAUGGUGGAGGAUAACUGACCUGCUCACAGUGCUUGCCUCAAAAAGCUGUCUUGAGGUUCUGUUUGUGCCUAGGAUGGUGUUUUUGUAAAAACUAAUAUUCUCAAAAAAGAUGUUAAUUUUAGGACUAAUUAAAUGAUUAAUGCCU